CCUACGGGAGGCAGCAGUGGGGAAUAUUGCGCAAUGGGCGAAAGCCUGACGCAGCGACGCCGCGUGAGGGAUAAAGGUCUUCGGAUCGUAAACCUCUGUCAGCAGGGAAGAACGGUCACUGUGCUAAUCAGCAGUGACUUGACGGUACCUGCAAAGGAAGCACCGGCUAACUCCGUGCCAGCAGCCGCGGUAAUACGGAGGGUGCGAGCGUUAAUCGGAAUUACUGGGCGUAAGGCGCUCGUAGGCGGUAUGUCAAGUCAAGGGUGAAAUCCCCGCGCUCAACGUGGGAACUGCCUUUGAAACUGGCAAACUGGAGUAUGUGAGAGGAUAGUGGAAUUCCAGGUGUAGGAGUGAAAUCCGUAGAUAUCAGGAGGAACAUCAGUGGCGAAGGCGACUAUCUGGCACAUAACUGACGCUGAGGAGCGAAAGCGUGGGUAGCAAACAGGAUUAGAUACCCUAGUAGUC
rnacentral:rRNA from 1 species